GAUGAAGGAACGUAGCGAAAUGCGAUAAGUAAUGUGAAUUGCAGAAUUCAGUGAAUCAUCGAAUCUUUGAACGCACAUUGCGCCCGCCAGUAUUCUGGCGGGCAUGCCUGUUCGAGCGUCAUUUCAACCCUCAAGCCCCCGGGCUUGGUGUUGGGGAUCGGCGUGCCCUCGCGGCGCGCCGUCCCCUAAAUCUAGUGGCGGUCUCGCUGUAGCUUCCUCUGCGUAGUAGCAACACUCGCACUGGAUCGCAGCGCGGCCACGCCGUUAAACCCCCCACUUCUGAAAGUUUGACCUCGGAUCAGGUAGGAAUACCCGCUGAACUUAAGCAUAUCAAUAAGCGGAGGA
rnacentral:misc_RNA from 1 species